rnacentral:rRNA from 1 species
UACGAAGGGGGCUAGCGUUGCUCGGAAUGACUGGCGUAAAGGGCGCGUAGGCGGUUCGUACAGUCAGACGUGAAAUUCCUGGGCUCAACCUGGGGGCUGCGUUUGAUACGUGCGGACUUGAGUGCGGAAGAGGGUCGUGGAAUUCCCAGUGUAGAGGUGAAAUUCGUAGAUAUUGGGAAGAACACCGGUGGCGAAGGCGGCGACCUGGUCCGAUACUGACGCUGAGGCGCGAAAGCGUGGGGAGCAAACAGG